rnacentral:lncRNA from 1 species
CCUGGGUGAUAGUCCUGUUAAUAAAUUCUCCAAGGUAAUUUAUGCCUAAGUUAUAAGGCGGAUAAUCGCCAAUCAUACAACUAAGUGUUAGACCCAUUAAUAAAUUUAUUAAUACAUAUCAUGCCUAAGCCACAAGGCAGGUAAUCGUUAGGUUAAAUUUUUUUUUUUUUUUUAAAAAGGCAUUUAUGCCCAAGCCAUUGGACGGUUUAAGACCGCUAGCCAAAUAUUCGGCUAUUAGUGUCGUUGAAAUACAUUGUCAUUUAUCU